AGCUGGUGGAAGUGCGUCAGUCAUAGCACUGUCAACAAAACCCCAAAACCGUAAACUCAGAGCAAUUCGCCUGGUUCCUCUUUAAAGCAAAACCAGGAGGUUCCGCCAGCUACCAGAGGACGAAGUGGGCUAAGUGAAAUGAAAAUUUGAGAGUUUCUCUCCAUCACUUAGCCCCGCCUCUCAUUCUUUU
rnacentral:telomerase_RNA from 12 species